GACGAACGCUGGCGGCGUGCCUAAUACAUGCAAGUAGAACGCUGAAGGAGGAGCUUGCUUCUCCGGAUGAGUUGCGAACGGGUGAGUAACGCGUAGGUAACCUGCCUGGUAGCGGGGGAUAACUAUUGGAAACGAUAGCUAAUACCGCAUAAGAGUAGAUGUCGCAUGACAUUUGCUUAAAAGGUGCAACUGCACCACUACCAGAUGGACCUGCGUUGUAUUAGCUAGUUGGUGAGGUAACGGCUCACCAAGGCAACGAUACAUAGCCGACCUGAGAGGGGGAUCGGCCACACUGGGACUGAGACACGGCCCAGACUCCUACGGGAGGCAGCAGUAGGGAAUCUUCGGCAAUGGACGGAAGUCUGACCGAGCAACGCCGCGUGAGUGAAGAAGGUUUUCGGAUCGUAAAGCUCGGUUGUAAGAGAAGAACGAGUGUGAGAGUGGAAAGUUCACACUGUGACGGUAUCUUACCAGAAAGGGACGGCUAACUACGUG
rnacentral:rRNA from 1 species